CUGUGAAAGAGGCUAGAGUGCGUGUUAGUUAAAUUUGUCCCGCGGUGUCGAAAGGUGUUGCGUGGAAGUUAGCAGUAGGAAGUGCGGAAAUUUGUGUGCGUUAGAAAACCGAAUAAAAAGCCGUGCGACGGCUUUUAUUCUACCGUUUAGAUUGGCACUAUUCAUCGGCCCGCCACACCGCCCUUCGCCCACCGACGCGCUCUAGACCCACGCGCUAGUUUGGAAGAUUCUGCCGCUACAACCAAAUAAGGCAGAAGUGCGACGGUUUUACAUCGUUUGCUCAACUGAGCUGCACGUCACAACCAUCCGGUGUGCACGUAUUUUGUUGCUGGCAGCUUGUCCGGCGUUCCGACACUGCCAGCAGUUAUCCAUCCUGUAUGCAGAGGAACAUCUGUAAUCGUCCGGUACAUCCUUAAUCGCCGCCUGCGCAGAUUCAUCACCGCCGGUGUAGAUACAUCGCCGCCACCGCAUCGCCGCAUCGGGACAGUCUUCGCAGUAGUGCGAAUGUGAGUGGGCAAGCAACGAAAAAGACUGUAAGUACACCUACUAUAAAAUCCAUGCGCAUGGUUCGUUAAAGUUUAGCCGAUACACGCACCCGGCAAACAA